ensembl:lncRNA
GGGGAAUUGGCUUGCAACUCUGAAUUACAGAGAACUUGUUAUUCUAACAGUUUUCGUUUUAAUGUUCUGAACGGUUUGACAGCAGUAGGGGUGUAGCAGGCUGGUGGGAAACUUUCUCUUCCUAAUGAGAAAAUGGUAGUGAAGGAAUCGAUGAACUAGGUCCUAGAAGUUCCUCUGUGCUCCUCUCUUCUUCUUCCUUCUCCACCCGCCUGGGCCACUGGGUUUGUUUUACACUGGUGUGAAAUUUACAUCUUUGCAAUACGCGUUGCUACAAGAUCCGUGCUUUGCAAAUAUUAUAGUCCCCUUUGGUAAAAGAAGUGCCUUGUCUGCAGAGGCUCCGUGGCUGCAGCUCGUGGAGGAGUUGCUGGGUUCUGCCGCAUGGGAUGCGCUGCUGCCCUGAGCCGCGCCACAGAGCACUGAGAUACUUUCUGGAUUUAUCCUGAACGAGAAGUGGAAUUGUUGAGUUAAUGCCCAGGAAGCAGCCCUUCUCCCCAGUGCUACACCCUGCAGCCCAGGAGGCCUUCACACACACGGUAAGAAAGCCUCUCUUCUUUGUUUCCAAGCUGAGCUCUGAGUGCAAGCAUUUAGUAGCAUUUAAAUGAAUUCUAUGCAAAAGUUGUCUGUUUUUCAGCUUUCAGUCUGAAGUUGUGUGAAUUGUGGCCACAGUGUGAAUUUAAGGCUUUAGUGCCUACGUUGGUGAAUGACGGAGUUUCAGAACAUAGCUCAGUGUUGAAGCAUUUUAGAGACUAUGCCAACAGUAAUGACUUUAUAAUUAAUGAUAAUCUUCAUAAUUUAUCUGGGACAGUGGCAAAAAUAAGUGAUCUACCUGUGUGUUAAUGGCUGCAGAAUAUGCGGGUGUGUUCCGUCCAAAUACGUUUUUGCAAGGAGAGGCUUUGUUGUGGGUCUGUCACUGUCCUGGGAGGGUAAUUUCUGAAAAUAGGGGGUACAAAUGCAAAUUUGUGCUUAAAAAUAUUGAAGCAAGCAUGUGCAUUAGCUCAUUUCUUGCUACUGUGUAUUUUUUCUACAGUAAGUUCACUUAUGAUGUAGAUGGUAUAAUUUAAUUCUGUUGUAUUCAAGUUUAUGAGAAUACAAGUUUUAGUCUUCAUUAUGUAGAACGAAGUAUGCUUUGCUUCUCUGACAUCCAUGCUGUGGUGGCACACUCGAAUUUUGGCAAAAAUAACUCUCACCAAAAUAACUAUUAAUUUGUACCCCCAGAUGAAUGCUGUGGUGGGGACAAAGGUCUUUACGUAAUAGCACAGGCAGAUUUCAGGGAUCACUGCAGCAAGCUGUAAAUGAUGUAUGAAAUGAAAACUUCCCAGCUGAUGCACAGUGAGCGCAGUUAUUGUGCUCUACGCAGUCGCUGCUGCGAGAGGCUCUUUGUUCCAAUACCACCUCAGGCACGUGCCAGCCCUUAAUGAAGAAAACUCUUAUGCUUGUAUUUGAAAGCAUUAAGUCCUUAAGAGUAACACUAAAGUGUUAGAAAAAUCUCUUAAGAUACUGUAUCAGUAAGUAUCCCACGGAAGUUUCCUGGCUGUUUGUAUGUUUGUUUGGGCAUAAAUAUCAUUACUUUACAGUAAUGAACUUGCCAUAGAUAGAAUGUUUCAUAAAAACUAUUCCUUCCUUUACUACUAAGAAUAUGUU